rfam:Capsicum annuum cultivar Zunla-1 chromosome 3, whole genome shotgun sequence
GUUCCUUUGGGGAUGUUCAGUAAAAUUAAAAUGAUACAAAGAAGAUAAGCGUGGCUCCUACGCAAGAAUGACACACACAGGUCGAGAAAUUAUCUAAAUUUUU